AUUGAACGCUGGCGGCAGGCUUAACACAUGCAAGUCGAACGAGAGGCGGACGGGUGAGUGAUGGCUGGGCAUCUGGCUUAUGGAGGGGGAUAACUACGGGAAACUGUAGCUAAUACCGCGUACGAUAGGAUGAGCCCACGUGGGAUUAGGUAGUCGGUGUGGUAAAGGCUCACCAAGCCGACGAUCCCUAGCUGGUCUGAGAGGAUGACCAGCCACACGGGGACUGAGACACGGCCCAGACUCCUACGGGAGGCAGCAGUGGGGAAUAUUGCGCAAUGGGCGCAAGCUGACUCAGCCAUGCCGCGUGAAUGAAGAAGGCCUUCGGGUUGUAAAGUUCUUUCGGUAGCGAGGCGUUAUCUACAGAAGAAGCACCGGCUAACUCCGUGCCAGCAGCCGCGGUAAUAC
rnacentral:rRNA from 1 species